AGGCUGCUCCCAUGCAUGCAGGCUGGCUGGAGCGCACGGAUCAGCCGAGCUCUAGCGCCCACUGCCAAACACUUUGUUGGCCGCUGAUGGUACUUUUCUCCAGUUUUUUUUCGUUCCGUGGCCUGAUAGGAGCUAUUUAAAUCAGCCACGCAGCGAAUCAGACGUGUCUCCCAACACUGCGCUCCGCUCUCCUUCCUGCGCCUCAAGUGACCGGAGAGGCGCAAAACCCCUCACCAAGCGCUGUCCCUUUUAUUGGCACCGAAUGGAAUAAAGUACUUUUUUUCUUUGCAGGCAAUCCUCAGGGCGGGACGCGUGGCUUCACGGCGGUGAAAACAAAGGAUACAGGACUCUUGAAGAGGGAACGGAAGAACAAGGGAGAGCAAUAAAGGGUCGGUGCGCAGAUUUGCAAGAUCAUUGGUUAUGAUCCAGUGCAUUUGACCUCGGCCGGAACCGGCAAUCCACCUGGGCUAUGAGAGACCGUAUGCACACACACACACACACACACACUAGGUGCAAAGAAACACACUCGUCUGUUAAAUGGAGUGAACACAUCACUCUUUACUAAGUAGAAGUUUCACUCAUCUCUCCCCCCUCGUUCCCCCAUCUGUCCAUGUCAUCCCUCACUACUCCACUUUCACAUCACCCAUCAGUUAGUCACACACACACACACACACACACACACACACACCUCUCUCUACACAUCAGCCAUCAGUUUGUCCGACAGACACAUAAAUGUACAUCUUCACAUUCACGCACAGGCCGAUUCCUUUACAUCACACGUCAGAUCACCCCAGAUUCUCUCUCUCACACACCUACACACACACACACACCUACACACACACAAUGCAUCACACAUCAGUUAUAUCUUUUAUGCUGAAGGAGAGAGGGGGUGUUGGCAGCGGGAGGGGUUGACAGGGGAGAAGAGGAAGUACACAGGAAGUACAUUAGUUAUCACUCCCAUGUCUUCUGCACCUUUUCACUUCUUAUCACCACCCGAUGUCUCAGACCCCAGCCGAGCUGCUUCUCCUUCUCUUCCCACCCCCUUUUUUCUUUUCUCUUUCUGUCUCUCCCAUUCUCACACACACGCCUCUAAAAAUGACUUCCAUGCUCCACUUUAGUGUCGGGCCCUGGGAUCUAGAUGACACUUGGCAAGCCGCAGAAGCCGCGAGACAACUGGAUGAAAUAUUUAAAUGAAAGACGGCAGGGGUAGAAGAGGUGAAGAAAGGAAGGGGGAAAAAGAGGGAGAGAAAGGAAUACAGGACAGAGGACGAGGGAAGGAGACAGUGACGAUAUUCAGAUGGUGAGCAGAAUGUGAAGGAUUUCUUUUCCUGGCAAAGAAAGGGCCUUGUGACAAGAAGUGCAGAUGAAUCGGCUUUCACCUACAAAGUAGCCUGUCGAGAAAUAAACCAAUAUAGAGUGAGAUCACAUCGCUUUGUCUUGGAAUCAUCUGCACGUCUCAGUAUAUGUCGAAGUACUUUUUAGCACUGUGCCAGCUCAGCUGCUUAGAGGAGAGCAAUGAAUCUCAUACAUGACCAAAUGAAAUGGGAUUUUAUGACUGUAGAAUUAUAAGGUUCUAUCUGACUUUUAUCCGUUAGAAAUGUUAAAUGCUAAUGCUAGCAUGGCAGCAUGCUAAGUGACAGCGCUAACAUGAUGAUGUUUAGCAUGUAUAGAUUAUACUUACUCUAUCGAUAAAGUUUGUUUAAUGUGCUAGCAUGCUAACAAACCCAAAUUGGCUUGGUAUUGUCAUUUCACAGGAGGGCCAUAUCAACAUUCAAGUAAUACAAAAAAGUUGUUCAAAAUAAAAUAUAAAAUAUUUCCAUUACUAACAUAAAAAAAUGCAAACAGCAGUUUAUACGAAUUCUUAUAUAUUUGUUAUAUAAUCUUUGUUGUUCACAGCCAGAUAAACGCCGAAACCUGCUCUUUGUUUGCAUGCAUUUGUUGGCACUUUUGACCUUUGCCGUUAUUUUGCACCAAUCUAAAUACUUUUUUAACUGAAUAUGAAGGGGUAGUCUGCCAAAUAUUAUGGCAGUCCAUCAGAUAUUUGUUGAGAUAUCUCACUGGAUAAGUCAAAAACGUAGAUAAAAAGUAGGGUGAUCACCAAUCAAUGAAUCAUCGGAUCUAUGAUAUUGAUAUCUGUUACAGAUAGAGCAAUAUUGCAGAUAUAUUUUGUUAAAGCAUUUUGUUACAUUGUUUUUUUAAUAUGCAAAUGAAUGUUAUUAUUAUUACCAAAUCACAGCAAUCCAUCCAAUAGUUCUACAGUCUGAAAAAGUUCUAUCGAUAAGGUUCCAACUGCAAAGCCAAUCAGUGCUCAGGUAGUACACUUGAGGACUAAUAAAGUUCCGCCUCUUUACCAGUUUGCCUCAUUGCUCUGUGACCUUAUGUUAAUCAUUGUAUUAUCAUUGUAAGACAUUUAUUGUAAGACAUUAUGAUUGACACUGAUACAAACGUCAACUGGCUCGUUUUAAUUUGGUGAAAAGCUGUUUUUAUUUUACCUCUAACUUCUAAACUUGAGACCCGGGGUAUUCAACUACAUUUGUCCAAGGGCCAGAAUUUUUUUAAGCUGACACUUGAGGGCCAGACUAUGAAAAAGUAAAUAAUUAAAACUUUAAUUUAGGCCUAAUUAGCCUAUUAUUGCUUCAUAUUUUAAUUUUCUUACAAAAUUCUAAUUAUUUUUCAUAAGCCUGACUCAGUGUGAACAGAGUAAAAAACAUGGCAAUUAAUCCAUAAUUAUAACUAGAUACUUAGAUUGAAAUGCUCUCAGACCUCCACCACCUCACUGAGGAGAGAUGUUGAAAUCUGUAAUUGCAGGAUGCAGUCCUGAUUUCCAGGAAAUAUUAAUCACAUUUAACCAGUUGAAAUGCUAUAUACAGUUACACCGUUAUUGUGCAUGUGACACCUGUAGUUAAAUGUGAUUUAAUACUACAGUUUACAUGAUUCUGGGGGCAGCUAAACAAACUAUUGUCAUUUUAAUUAAGAAGUCAGGCAAUAUUUUGUUCUUUUUUUAUCAUUCUGUGAGCAACCGUGAUCUGAUUUUAUUCUGCACAGAGCAUGAGUUUGUGAACAGCGACAGUGAAAGUAUCUUUGGUUACCUGUGCUGAGAAGUUGGAGGUGUGCAGCUCUUCAUCUAAAUGUUUACUGUAACUGCUCCUUCUCAUUCUAUUACUCCCUGCAAUAUAUCAAACAGUUAUCUUGUUUUGUAGAUGCACUUUUGAUGAACAAUAGCGGGCAGCCAGCAUCAAACUUCCCGAAAAAACAAUUUUCUGCAUUUCCUGUGACGACUACUUCAUAAUAAAAGUCAAAUAGUGUUUCGUUUUUUCCAUUGUUUUUAAUUCCAUUGUUAUAUAUUUAUUUAAAAUGUAUAGCUGUGCAUGUGCCAAAAUAUCAUAACUCCUUUUAAUAAUGAACACAGUGAUUAUGUUUAUUUAAACAACACUGUCUCUUUGUUAUCCAAUUCAUUGCUUUAAUUUCUGCCUUAGAUGAGACUUUUGCAAUUUGUUCUUACUAUUAGGAGCUAUACUAUUUUGAUGUUACAUAUUUAGAGUGCCUUUAGGGUGCCAGUUAUUUUGACCGAUAAAAGAGAACUUUACUGCGUGCAAUCGUUACAAUUUUUCAGUAAAUCAAAACCCGGAUUGCAGACAGAACCUUAUAAUUUCGGUUAUGUUUGCUUCCAUUUCCAAUUCAAGUGUGUGUCCAAACAUCCACUUGGUGAAAAAGCUCUCUUGAAUUAUUUUCAUAGCUGUAUGCUGGUUGUGCAUAGGUGCAUGCAUUUGUGUGUUUAGUAUGUACAUAAUUGUACUGUACAUCGAUAGAUAUAUGCGUGCAUGGGUUUGUGCUCGUAUAAUAAUUUAUGCCUUUUUAUGUAUGCUGCAUUACAGUUGUAUGAGCAUGCUUGCAAAGUGCUUGCUGCAGAGCUGGACAUCAGGCCUGUCUGUCAGAGAUUGACAGCAUGUAUAGGCAACAAACUUAAAUGUGAGGCCAAAAAAGUGAAGGAAAUUUUACCCCUGCAGUGUACAACUGCAAAAAAAUAUAUAAUAAUUGGAAAGAGAAGUCAAUAAAAACUGAAGACUUGAUAUGCAAAGUGUGUUGUUUGAAUUUUACAGCAUUGCACUGAUUUAAGAUAGGCUUCAGGUCAUUGUGAGUAAGGUGAAUGGCAUAUGCACAAGAAAACUAGAGAAAAAAACUGCCAAUAUGUAUGUGUUCUAUAUUCAUACCAUCAGUUUCCGGUUAUUGUAGCGAAACAAAAGAGAGAGAGAAAAACUCAUGUUCUUCAUUAUUCUCCUGAACAGAUUCUGCACGCAGCAAUGAAAAUGCUAACGUAUUGCCAUCCAGUAGUUGAGAGCAAAGUAUUACUUCAAAUAAACAUUCUGUUUCCCAGUGCCGGGCUUGGUGAGUAAAUGGAACGGAGAAGGAACAGAGGGGUUUUCUCCUGCGCUGAUUGGGUGCAGAUGUGAGCCCCAGUCUGGGUUUGGUUAAAGUCCCGCUGCCAGGAAUAUUCGCUACAAUUCAAUAAAUAGAGCUGUUAGGAGCAAGGCAUUUCCUUGUCACCAUGUCAAGGUUUCAGAGCGGAUGUUUCAUAUUGAGUGUUUUCACUCUGCCUAUACUGUAUCUAAUGCUUAGCCUAUACACCCAGCUGAAUAUAAAACACUAUAACUCAAGAAUGCUGCUAUUGAGAGGCUGCAGUUGCAGAUUAAAUGAUGCAUUUGAACUUGAAUUUAGGCUUGGAUUCACACGUGUAUUAGAGUUCAACUAAUUACGGUUUCUGGAUGACCAUACACAAGAUUUUGGACCAAAAGGUUGUAUGACAUAUAUUUUAUAUAAUAAUAUUUAGAUGCUCAAGGGUAUCAGGAUGCAAAAAUAUUCCAGUGAAACCCAGAUUAAUGAAGCCAUUUUAGUUAUUUUCUUAUUUUGAUUUUGAAACAACAAAACAGAUCUCUUCACCAAAAUCCUGUUCCCAACAAAAUAUUUUAUAUAAUAUGGAGUUUAGCUCAAAUAACUGGAAUUAUUAAUAAUUGGAAGGUUAAAAAAAUGUGUUUGAGGAAUAUUAAACUAUUCCUCUAAUUAAGAAUUUAAUAUUCAUCUAGAUGAAAAUCAUAAAUAUUUGUGAUGCAUGCACCUUUCCAAACCCCAAACCCCACAUCUGCAGAAAAUAUUCAAUAUCGGGAUAAUUAAAGUAUUUAUCGAUGCAAUUCAAAGACUUUAAAUUAGUUUUUUAUCUUACCUUUUGACUGAGGUUUAACCUCUCUAAAAUCAAAGAUGACCCACUACAUCAACCCCAAAAAAAUCAAAUGCUGCACAUUUGGUGGACAGGUGGAGCAUUUAAGUGAGACUUCAUCAUCCGCAUCAGCCUCAUAUCAGCACACAUACACAUUCAGCACACUCACGCCCUCAUCUCCUCUAUCGCUCCUUCAGCUCCCUCUUGCUAAUAAUCUGCCUUUGCUUUUCCUCUCCCCCCUCCCUUUCCUCUCCUCCCCUGUGCCCAUCUGCGGAGCGAUCAAAUCAUCGUAUGGAGAAAUCCUGGUGAUCCAAGAGGGCCAGGCAGAAAGGUCAUGGAGAGAGUCCGUAAAAUGGAUGAAGCCUAAUGAUUAGCUCAACCUUUACCUAAUCAAUAAUCAUUUAUCCAACAAUAUCACCGGCAGCCAUAGCCCCAUUUGCCAUUAACCUCAGCGGUGAGGAGAGAGGCAGUAUUGUUUCCUCUGGCAGCUUUACGGCACUCAGAUGAGUGGUAGGGGCUGGGAUGGAAGCUUAAGGUUGGAUCUCGAUGGCUCAGAUCCUAUUAAGGGACUGUAGGUAUUUUAGUGUAGCAGUGUCAUAUAAUUACCCUUUUGAAUGAUUGAGUGUGACACCGGCUGUUGAAACGGUAGAAUCGGACGGCCUUUUUAUUAAAGCAUAAAAUGAUAAAAGGGUGUCUUACGAACAUGAUAUUAAUUAACAGAUGUGCUAUUGGAAUUAUGUUAAAAACACCAAAAAGUGUAAUUUGCUGCUGUCAAACCAAACUUUGAACAACAACAGAAGAGCUCCAUUUUGCUUCUUUGCUGCGAUUUUAAGAAAAAAAAAAUAAAAUAUCUGUGUAUGUUUAAUUCAGCUUUUAUUGCUUUUUACAGUAAAACACUGAAAAAAACUGCAACCUAUUCUGCGACAUGGAAAACAUCUCUCCACACACUCCCUCUGUCUCUCUCACACACACACAUGCAGCAGCAGCAGCGCUUGUCUCCUCUGUGUCUCCAUGAUGCCAUCUUCAUCAUAACCUCUCCCUCUUUAUUGCCUUUAAUGACUCCCCCUCUCCUUUCAUUAAUUCUUUAUUGAUUCGUCCUGACGUUGCCUGAAUUAUUUUCCAAUUACAGCAAAUAAAAGAAAAGAAAAAUCCAUAGCAAAUACAUUCCUGUAUGUGUGUGUGUGUGUGUGUGUGUGUGUGUGUGGUUAUGUACCUUGAGCAACUAACUGCAGCACAUACCUACACAUAUCUACGAGUGGUUAUUGUUGAGGCAUUGCUACCAUUUGGUGCAUGGAUUUGUGGAAAUUCGUAGCUUUUUUUAUUUUUAUUUUGUGGUCAAACACUCUUUUGCACACACACACACACACACACACACAGAAACGAGGCGGAAUGUGACGGCACAGAAAGAGUGGUAAAAGGUCACAGGAAGCUAAUGGCUCCAGCUAUCUUACACGGAAUAAGUUCAGACACUUUGGACAGGUUUGUGUGUGUGUCACGGAGGAGUAAGGGGGCCGGACGUGAGCGGAAAACAACACACCGGCAGACUCGUGUACAUCAACAAUUCACAAGGGCAAACACACAAAUACAUUUUAGGCAUAAUGCAACACAAGUGUAAUUACAGAAUCUUUUAAUAUGCUGUUGUGAGAGUGAAAAUGAUGGUACCGAUACCAGAUAGGUUUAGUCGCUGAAUUAGCCUCAGAGGGAGAGAGUCCAUCAGAUGGCUCCAGUUAAUACCCACAGGUCAUUAAUUAUAACAAUUAUUCACCUACAUAUCGCAGACACAUAUUGACUCUUGUUUUUACGCCUCGGCCUGGCCUGUCUGAUGAUGCACCCAAAAGGGCGAUGGGAAAAUAAAUGUAUUAAGCAUGUGCAUGUUUUUGUGAUUGUAUUGAGGAUGGAAAUAGAUUUUUUUUUAACCUGCAUGGGAAUCUUGAAUUGUUUAUUAUGUACUGUACAAUGCGCUGGCUCCUCUGUUGUCCAAUUAGAUGGUAUUACUCUGAGGCAGUGUCAGAGAAAGUGAUGGUUAAUGAUGUAAAACAUGAUUCAGGUGAGCCUCAUACAAAUGUGCAAUGCACAGACGUGCAUGCAAAGGUUUUUUGCCAUCAGUCACAUUCGUCUCGUGACUUAGAAAUGAGCAGCGAGAGGAAAUUAAAUUAGCUUCUAUUAUGCACUUACCUGAGAAGUGUUUUGUUGUUCUGUUGUUUCCUCUGCUUUUGCAGAUGUGAGCCAUCUGUUAUCUGCCUUGUCUGCGUGCAUGCACAGCUCUCAAGUGCUUGUAUGUACAGUAUGUCCACCGCCGUGCAUGCCUGCCUUUGCGAGUGUGUUAAAUUUGUCCCUGAGUGUGCAUUUGCGCGUGUGUGUGUCCUGACCUCUCCUGCCCUCUCUCUUCCAUCUCUCCUUUGAGAGUGUGUGUGAUAUACAGAGCUCUAAUUGUCAGGUCUGGCCCCCACAUUCCUCGCCUCGGCCAGCCUACCAACACUGUGUCACUUUAACAACCGCGAAUUAUCACCGCGAUGGAGAUCUCGGCUUCACAGUGGCUCUAUGAGAAUAUAGAUACAUUUCCUUCAAUAAAUUGCCCCCUCCAACCACCAGCGCUGCACAGCCGCGCACACACAACUCACUACCUGUCCACAACCCUCCCCCCUCCUCCUUCUUCACAUUCACUGCUCUCUGACUGACAUUUUUACCGCAACAUUAUUGCGUCUGCCUCGAGAUGGGAGAGCCGUCGCCGCACCAAAUGUAGCUAAAGUAUCCACCUAAAAGGGGGGAUGAGAUGAAUCCGGCCCCUCGGUAUCAUUUGACCAGGGUUAUUGAUUCUCACAGAGCAGAGCGGGAUCAGAGUGGGUUUCCCAUAAAGUCGGCGGCCACAGUGACGGCAGACAGGAGAAGAGGACAGGGCAUAAAGAUAAUACAUAUACAUGUCUGGUGACGGGAUCGUUUCUUCUAAUAACAUCUGUUCUUACUUAAUCCCUGCUCAGGCUACAGGCUGCUUCAUCUUGCACAAACGCAUCUGAUCCUUUUGUUUUAGGUGGAGUGUAUCCAAAGAGGAUGUGUUUCAUGCACUGCAUUUAUUCCUUUUCUGGCUGUGAAAUGACAUUUUAUGUUGAGACAAUAAAGACAAUACAGUGAGUGAAAUCAAAGGAAGAAGGUGAUCUUUUUUUCCUCUAAAAAGUAGUCUUGGUCACACUUAAGCAUCUAGCAGAAUACAACGACGGAUAUCAUGAAUUUUACUCUAAAAACCCUUAAAAAGGAAGCAUGUACAAAUGGUGAACAAAGUCAUUAUCAAACUGGACCAUUAGAUCCCAGCUUGCCAUGUGGUUCAUUUUUAUAUCAGCGCUAAACAAAAAUAAUUCCAACCACCCAAUCGGAUGCAGCCUAAGUACUUCAGCAUGGCCGUGCGAAGCGAGGCAGUCAUCUUCUCCAGCGGACGGGAUGCCACGUAAGUGUUUCAGUCUGUCUUUAUAGAAGUCCAGGCCAGCUCCGCUACAGGCUCAGCCAGGACCGGGGGUUUGGCUUAAUGAAAGGCAGAUUGAAAAAGGCUCUUGAUUGAUUUCCUACAUCUUGAUUUGAUAUCCUGAAUUAAUUAUUUGAACUUGAAUAAUAUAUAAAGGAAAAAUAAAUGUAGAACACUCAAGGGAAACAAGCAGAGGGCUUCAGUGCUGCCGCCGUCGUUGCUGCUGCGGCUGCUGCACGUUAUCUCUUAGUCAAUCUUAUCUCCUGUUGCUCUGGAGGAAAGUGUGUGUGUGGUGUGCAUACGUGUGUGUGAUCAGCCAGCUGUGUUACAUGUGUGUGUUGCAGUGUAGUUUUUGUCUGUGUGUGUGCAGCAGGGAAACAAAAUGAAGGUUUGUGUGGUUGACUCCUUACAGUGUCAGUGUCAAUAUGCUUCCAGAUUGUUGCUGUACAUGUCUAUGAUUUAGAAUAAGGACUCCAUAAAAAGAUAGUGUGUAACAUUCAGGAGGAUCUACUGGCAGAAUAAAAUAUGCAUAGCUUCAUUAGUAUAUAAUCACCUGAAUAUUGGAAUUGUUAUGUUUUUGUUAACUUACCUAGAAUAAACCUUGCCCUUCUGUGGAGUCUACCAUGUGUCCGUAGUGGCCCUGAAAGGACAAACCAAACACUGGCUCUAGAUAGGGGCACUUAUGUUUUCUGUAUGUAUUGGGGAGACCGUCCAAUUACAAUCUGCAACUACACUGCUAUAUGCCAUUAGAUCCUAUACACUGGACCUUUAAAGUAAAGUAAAACCUGGGUGUAAUGCAGUUUUUUGGUUGUUUUUUUCAGAUUUUGUGUUAUUUUGUAACGAUGAAGAGACAUUUGGAACCGACCUGGGAGAAAAAGCAAUAUGCGGGAGAAAAAAAGAUUCUCAAGACAGUUAAGUUAAGUUUUGUCUUAAAUGUGUGGGCUUUGUUAUACCAUUCAUGUGGAAACAUCAAACAGGCACAAGUGCUCUGAUGCUAACAUGUUUUACGUCAUUAAAAUGUUUUCUGUUCACAAAAAGCUGCACUAAUUUAUUUCUAUAUGUUACAAUGGCUCAAAUAACAAUGCGUGAUGUAAAAGAUGUUUCUUCAUGGUGACAAAACCAACAUAGAAUUAUCACCUAACUCUGCACUUCCCUUCAGUACUACAAACCAUUGUAGCAUCUUUCAGCUCAUUGUUUUGAAUUUAUGACCUGCAACCUUACUUUUUAGUUUCAGUGCUCUCACCAGCAUCAUUUCCAGCCACAGGAGGCAGUUAUCUAUACACAGAUAUCUGCAUAUGAAUGCUAAUUCGGUUUCAGACUGUUUACCUGCAUGCAACCAGAGAUCACUCAAACGUGAUUGGUCAAUACUACUCUGACUACAAAAGGAAACCAGAAUGCCUCUGAUACCAAAAUUGUGUCCUUUGCCUACUAUUAAGCAUUUAUAUGCAGAUAUCAGUUUUAUCUUAUUUUAUCUUAUUUUUAUCUUUUUACAUUGCACCAGACGCAAAUUCUAAAAAUGCAGUGCAGAAUUAUAUACUGGGUAAAUACGUGUAUGUAUGUAAGUAUAUAAAUAGCUGUGUUUUCUCUUUAUUUCAUUUUUUUUAUUUCUACGUUAUGUGUCUCUUUUUCUAUGUGUGUGGCAUGAAGGGACUGCAAACAUUUAUUUCAUUUUAUAACCUUGUCUUGUAUAAUGAUAAAUACAUUGUCUAAAUGUCCUAGAUAUAGAUUAGUCCAGUACUAAAUGGCAGUCAGUCAAAGUUGGCAGCUAGCUGCUGAACGUAGUGGAGCAUUUAGCAGCUAAACAGAAAGAUAUUUCCCUUAGGAGUUGGUAGAGACCAAAACAGGACUAAAAUUAAUUAGUGAAUAUUGGACUUGAAUGAAUUGUUAGGAGACAUAACUUCAAUGAAAGGAAAUGUUGUUCUGUCUCUGUUGGAUGUUAAAUAGGUUAUUGUUUGCUAAUAUGUUUAUAACUAUAAGGUGCAUUAGUAAAGUCAUUAUUAUGUGACAACUUCUUCAACCGCAUCUAACAGUCCUCGGUCAAUUACAUGGCUGAAAUGACAAAAAUUAUUGAGACAAAAGAGGAAAUGUUUAUGUGCCAUCUUCAUCUGUGGGAGGUUGUGAUUGACAUUUUUCACAAUUUUCUGACAUUUUAUAGACUUAACAAUUAACCAAAUUAUUUGAAAACUAAUCAAGAGAAUUGAUAAAGGAAAUCAGUUGCAGUUGUAAAUCAAAAGUAAAUCUAUCUUUCAGAUCUGAAAUCAAGAUUAAUUUUUGUACCAAACUUUUCAUUCUCCAUAUAACUACCUUAAAUUAAUCAUACUGCAUGCACACUGUCACCCGGUGUCAUUUCUUUUAUUGAUAAAACAUGAAAUCAAGUUUCUCCCUACAAUAAAAUAUUCUAAACUACAGUAUCAUCCGCAUAUAGCUGAUUUCCUAGUACUGGUGCCAGGGGCCCAGCUCAUUCUGCUGUGGCAUCAGAGGAAACAUUAAACACUCUUCAUGCUCAUCUUCUCCUCUCAGCCCGGAGAAGAAGGAUGAAGGGAAGGUGAGAGAUGCUGAAGGAGGGAGGGAGGGAGGCUAUCAACCGGGUUCAAUCGGACGACUAUACUCUGCCUUCUCUCACUGCCACCUAUUUUGUUCCCCCUCUUUUUGCUGCUGACACCCAGAUUAUCAUUAAAGAAGACGACUGCCAUGCAGGUGCUGAUUUGCAGCGAGUUUGAACCAAUCAAUCUCAAAAGUUAAGAUUAACAGUAAAAGGCUUCAAGCUCCCUCUUCUCUGUCCUCUCACUACCCCAUUGCCGCCUCCCCUGAGUCUUACUCACGAUCUGUUGUCUCAAUUUCCCUCCCUCCUUCCCUCCCUCCCUUUUUUUUCUUUAUAUUUUAAUCUAAGCGAGAAAUGAAAGGGGAGGCCUUUAAAUUUCAUAGCUUCCAGAAAACUGUGGCAAGUAUUCAUUGUCGUUCUACUUUUCCCUUUCAACCUCUCAGCUGGAGGCCUCGGCUCAUGACAUCUUUAUAUAUGACGCCCUGCUCUCAAAUUGCCACUGACGCCUUUAGAUGAGCUGCACUGUGAUCUCGGAAUACCAAAACACCCCUGACAGAUUUUUCUUAUUGACACACGCUGUAACCGAGAUCGGCCCGUGCGCCGCCAGCCCAAGGCCUCACUCAUCCCGUCACAUUAAAAGCACCUACACUGAAUAUACCCACAUUUAAAACAGCCAUAAUUACUCCCCGGGUAUUUUAGGAUAAUUGUUAUAACUUAUGAUAAAUACGUUUUUUUCCCUUCGACACAACCUGUUUUAUGGCGAGGAUCAGCAAUGUCAUAAAGAACGAGGCACAGCUCUUAAUCAUCGGGACAAAUACACCAUUAACUUUUGAAUUCAUUUCCUGAAUCUGCAUCGGCUAUGGUAAACUCUUCCUCAUUACGGAAGCAGAUGCUUUAAAAGCCAGACUGGAUGGGAUCAAAGGCCAGCGAGGGAGAGAGCGACUGGCUCCCUUGCCCGCCGCUUUAGCUCAUUUUCAUUAUCAUCCACUGACUAAAACAUCUAUCGCAUUAUGCAUUAACAGUUUAAAAGCUCCUCUUUUCUCCGGCCUCUUGAACACCUUUUCUGUAUUAGAGGAUGUCAUCAUGGCCAAAGCGUGGCGGAAAAGCCUCACGUCAACUCGAUCAAAUCAUCUGCACUAAUGAUGACAACUCUGGGAGUGGGUUUGAUGGGAGGAAAAAGGGGGAACGUACACAAAGGGAAAAGGAGUGUGUGCAUAGAUCUUCACAUGCAUACCAAAACACACAAUUAUUAAGUGUUUUUAGAGUCGAGCUAUGAAGGGAGUGUGUAUGUGUGUGCCUGUGUGCUGGGUAAAGGCCGGAGAGCCAAGGAGGCUGAUGGUAAUGUAUUUUUCUCCAAACAAGAAAGAUUGCUGAA